AUUGAACGCUGGCGGCGGGCCUAACACAUGCAAGUCGGACGGUAGCACAGAGGAGCUUGCUCCUCGGGUGACGAGUGGCGGACGGGUGAGUAAUGUCUGGGGAUCUGCCCGAUAGAGGGGGAUAACCACUGGAAACGGUGGCUAAUACCGCAUAACGUCGCAAGACCAAAGAGGGGGACCUUCGGGCCUCUCACUAUCGGAUGAACCCAGAUGGGAUUAGCUAGUAGGCGGGGUAACGGCCCACCUAGGCGACGAUCCCUAGCUGGUCUGAGAGGAUGACCAGCCACACUGGAACUGAGACACGGUCCUGACUCCUACGGGAGGCAGCAGUGGGGAAUAUUGCACAAUGGGCGCAAGCCUGAUGCAGCCAUGCCGCGUGUAUGAAGAAGGCCUUCGGGUUGUAAAGUACUUUCAGCGGGGAGGAAGGCGAUGUGGUUAAUAACCGCGUCGAUUGACGUUACCCGCAGAAGAAGCACCGGCUAACUCCGUGCCAGCAGCCGCGGUAA
rnacentral:rRNA from 1 species